UACGUAGGUGGCAAGCGUUGUCCGGAUUUACUGGGCGUAAAGGGCUUGUAGGCGGUUCGUUAAGUCUGGUGUGAAAUCUCCCGGCUCAACCGGGAGGGGUCAUCGGAUACUGGCGGACUAGAGACAGGUAGAGGAAAGCAGAAUUCCCGGUGUAGCGGUGAAAUGCGUAGAUAUCGGGAGGAACAUCAGUGGCGAAGGCGGCCUUCUGGUCCAGUACUGACACUCAAGUGCGAAAGCGUGGGGAGCAAACAGG
rnacentral:rRNA from 1 species